UUUUCAGUGUGUGUCCAUGCUUUAAGAGCAGAGGCAUCACUGAGAAGUGUUUGAUAUCCUACAGGAAAUGAGAUUCCCACACAUGUGAGAGUGGGCUCCCAUCACCUCAGUGACCACAGCCCAGACAUACUGUUAAACCCUAUUAAACCUGCAAUUCACAAUAUUCACUCUGUUUGAACAAGAGUCAAGGAACCUUAAACCAUCCUUUUCUAGGCCCCAAUUCAGCAACGCAUUUGAGCAUAUCCGAAAGGGUUUUGUUGAAAAGGGAUGACCUGCUGAAUCAGGGCCCUAAUGACUCAUCAUUCUCCACAUUUCAAACAUCUCUGCCUUUCUUCCAUACGCCUCAAAAAGCCACUACUAGACACAAAGGCUAAUAUGCAUAGC